GAAAUGCGAUAAGUAGUGUGAAUUGCAGAAUUCAGUGAAUCAUCGAAUCUUUGAACGCACAUUGCGCCCUUUGGUAUUCCUUAGGGCAUGCCUGUUCGAGCGUCAUCUAAACCUUCAAGCCCUGCUUGGUGUUGGGUGCCUGUCCCACCUCCGCGCGCGGACUCACCUCAAAUCCAUUGGCGGCCCCCGCGUCGGCCACGAGCGCAGCAGAAACGCGAACUCGUGAGCCCGUCCGGGCGGCUCCCAGAAGCUACACCCACCCCGUUUGACCUCGGAUCAGGUAGGGAUACCCGCUGAACUUAAGC
rnacentral:misc_RNA from 1 species